GAUGAACGCUAGCGGCAGGCCUAAUACAUGCAAGUCGAACGGGAUCUGAGGGUAGCUUGCUACCCGAUUUGAGAGUGGCGCACGGGUGCGUAACGCGUGAGCAACCUACCCAUAUCAGGGGGAUAGCCCGAAGAAAUUCGGAUUAACACCGCAUAAUAAUACGCUAACACAUGUUGAUGUAUUUAAAUAUUUAUAGGAUAUGGAUGGGGUCGCGUGACAUUAUCUAGUUGGUAAGGCAACGGCUUACCAAGGCGACGAUGUCUAGGGGCUCUGAGAGGAGAAUCCCCCACACUGGUACUGAGACACGGACCAGACUCCUACGGGAGGCAGCAGUAAGGAAUAUUGGUCAAUGGGCGCAAGCCUGAACCAGCCAUGCCGCGUGCAGGAUGACUGCCCUAUGGGUUGUAAACUGCUUUUGUUAGGGAAUAAACCUUCUUACGUGUAAGGAGCUGAAUGUACCUAAAGAAUAAGGAUCGGCUAACUCCGUGCCAGCAGCCGCCGUAA
rnacentral:rRNA from 1 species